GUACAAGCUAAUCGAUGAUAUAAAGAAAAUAACACAUUUUAACUCACCAAAAAGAAAAAAAAAAUACAUUUUAAAAGAAUUGUCCUUAAGUAAUUGGAUGAUGAUCUUAUAGUACUCAUCAACCUGACACUUUGACGCCGAUGGAUUCUUUGCAUAAUGCUAAAACUAGACAAAGUUGAGGUCUCGGUUUCAAGAAUUCUAUGUUUAGCACAUAGGAAGGUAUCUCACUCUACUCGCUAGAACACCAUCCAAGAUGACAAAAGAAUGAAGACUUAAAGAGAGAUACUAUAUAUACUCAGGAGGUUAUCUCAUAAAAAUAAUGCAAAGCCGAAGAGCUACUGCAUGCCACCACAUGGAGAGGCUUUGUGUUAUGUUGUGUAUAAUCCAGCAAAAACUAUAUCAUAAAGCCUAGAGCCAUAAUAAGCUACAUGUCCCCUAAAAGCGAGGGAGAGUUGGCCUCAAGAAAAGGACUAGCACAGAGCAGCG
rnacentral:misc_RNA from 1 species